GUGUCAGCAGCCGCGGUAAUACAGAGGUCCCAAGCGUUGUUCGGAUUCACUGGGCGUAAAGGGUGCGUAGGUGGCGAAGUAAGUUGGAUGUGAAAGCUCCGAGCUUAACUCGGAAAUGGCAUUCAAAACUACCUUGCUAGAGGGUUGGAAGGGGGACUGGAAUUCUCGGUGUAGCAGUGAAAUGCGUAGAUAUCGAGAGGAACACCAGUGGCGAAGGCGAGUCCCUGGACAACUCCUGACACUGAGGCACGAAAGCUAGGGGAGCAAACAGGAUUAGAUACCCUGGUAGUCCUAGCCGUAAACGGUGCACAUUUGCUGUGAGAGGAUUCGACCCCUUUCGUGGCGUAGCAAACGCGUUAAAUGUGCCGCCUGGGGAGUACGGUCGCAAGAUUAAA
rnacentral:rRNA from 1 species